GACGAACGCUGGCGGCGUGCCUAAUACAUGCAAGUAGAACGCUGAAGAGAGGAGCUUACUCUUCUUGGAUGAGUUGCGAACGGGUGAGUAACGCGUAGGUAACCUGCCUUGUAGCGGGGGAUAACUAUUGGAAACGAUAGCUAAUACCGCAUAACAAUGGAUGACACAUGUCAUUUAUUUGAAAGGGGCAAUUGCUCCACUACAAGAUGGACCUGCGUUGUAUUAGCUAGUAGGUGAGGUAAUGGCUCACCUAGGCGACGAUACAUAGCCGACCUGAGAGGGUGGUCGGCCACACUUGGACUGAGACACGGCCCAGACUCCUACGGGAAGCAGCAAUAGGGAAUCUUCGGCAAUGGGGGCAACCCUGACCGAACAACGCCGCGUGAGUGAAGAAGGUUUUCGGAUCGUAAAGCUCUGUUGUAAGUCAAGAACGGGUGUGAGAGUGGAAAGUUCACACUGUGACGGUAGCUUACCAGAAAGGGACGGCUAACUACGUG
rnacentral:rRNA from 1 species